rnacentral:lncRNA from 1 species
AAAUACAUUAUAUUUGAGCCAAAGUUUACCUGCUUGUGUUUCUACUCAUUCUCUCCAUGCAAGAAUUAUUUACAUUUUUUUGAAAUGCUGAAGUUGACUUUCUUUAGUAAAGUUCCAAAUAUAGAGUUAGUAUGUACCCACCAUGUAGCUAUGAGUCCACAAAUUAAACACACUAGUUUUACUUUGUCAAAACUACAUUACAGAUGUUUAACAUGGUCACAGUGGUGUAAUAGCACUGGCUCCAACAAAUAAAUAGUACUUAAACUACCAAGCCCCUCUCGAUCUCUCUCUCUCUCCCAAUUCUAAGAAAAAUUCCUCUUACAUACACAUGAGCGUUUUGAGAUAACUGCAAAAACAGGUUUUGAGAUAACUUGCAUUGGACCAUGAGCAACUAGCCAGUCCAAGCCCAAAAUGCCAUCAUACACUCCAAAGUCAAGUAAUCUGAAGUCAUUUUUGAACUGAUGAGAGUCACAGCUCCAUUGACAGUUGGAAAUAACUAGUUCACUGAUGAGACUGUCCCUCCUUCUAUAGUAACCUUCAUGGGUCUAAUAGUCUGUACAUCCUCGAACAAGUGCUCAAACUUGAUGUUGAGGAAAGAGUGGGUGCUACCAGAGUCAAUCAAGAAGAUUAAGGGAGUGUCCUGUACCAGAAUCGACAGCAGAAUCGUUCUUCCAUCAGUACCAGGUUUAUUAAUUGAGAACAUAGCAUAUUUGCUUGUCCCUGUUCUGAACUAGCGGACUCUGACAAGUCACAGUCUUCAUGCAGAUGAUCAAUCAUCUCUUGCACUACAUGUAGUUGAACUGAGGCCCUGCACUAAUUAUCCUUGGACCAUUUCUCAGCACAUACAAAGCAUAAUUCCUUACAUCUCCUGUAAUUCCUCAAUGCUGUCCAUUUGUCCUCAGGUGGAUUGCCGGAAAUUUCAGUGCUCCUUCUCUCUUCUGGCGCCUUUUGUUUGACCGGAGGUAAUGGCAACAACAAGGCUGUUGCGCUCUUGGAUUGAUUGUUGUUACUUGGAGAGUGACCCUCUCCCAUCUCCUCCAGUAGCAUAGCUAGUUCAUAGGUUGUAUCCAAAUCUCUUGGUUUCUGAAUGGCCACCUGAAUUUUUAUUGUUGGUUUCAAGCCAUCUAGGAAUCUGGUGACAUAAUGGAGUGGAUUAGAUGCGGCCUCAUAAGCUGUAGGUUUUUUUAGAGAAAAGGCCAUAGCCCGACUUUAUAAAUAAAGCCACACGGCAGCGUCACAGACACGAACAAGAACGAAACCAACCGGCGAAACAUCGCAGUACAGUACACCGAGCAAAUUGUUUGGGACCAGCAAACGAAAAGGGACACAGGCAACCUACCAUACACAGCGCGCAGGCCGGAACGGGAUAAGAUUAGAUCCAAACUACGAAAACAGUGCCACCCUGAUUAGACGACAGGGACCAGCCCGGAGAUGUGGGACGCCGAACCCGAAUUUUGGCGAUGAGCACGUCCAGGGCAUCCCGAUCUUCAUCCUUAGUCAAUGAUCUCCACUGCUGCAAUAGUAUACGUGAUUUGGAAAGAACGUCAGCAGGCUUAGACGGGAAGAUAUGUUCAAUAGUAAAUUUGGUCCUAGUAGUCCAUAGAGCCCAGCAUAAGGCACCCAGGCCGACCCAGAACACCCUCUUGGUAACCCCAGCCAAAACUUUGGUUAGGUUUCUAAGCUCGGAGAAUGAGGAAGGGUUCCACGAAACCUGAAGCCAGGAUCUGACACAACUCCAAACCAACUUAGCCAGCACGCAAUUGAAAAAAAAUGUGAUCCAAGUUUUCCAAGGCACCACAAAGAUGACAGAACUCCAAGCCUGGCCCAUUGCGCUUUUUAAUCUGGUCAGCCGCCGGUAGGCGGCCAUGAAAAGCUUGCCAAAGGAAAAUUUUAAUCUUAGGAGGGACUUUGGACUUCCAGACACAAGAGAAUCUGCUCGAAGGGGAACCACCGAUAAGCCUAGAGUACAGCGAUUUAACCGAAAACCUGCCAGAAGCUGAAUGAGGCCAAACCACAGCGUCAGACGUCUCCGAGAGCACGGGGAAGAGGGCAGAGAGACUUUGCCAGUCUUCCAACUCUUCAGGAGACAGGGAACAACGAAAAGACAGAUCCCAGUUAUUAGCCGCCACCUCCGCGAUGGAGAUAUCAGGUUUAGGGCAAUACGAAAACAAAACCGGAAACCUAACAGCAAGGGGGGCAUUCCCAGACCACCAGUCCAGCCAGAAGCGGACCGCAGUGCCAUUACCAAUGAUAAAUUUAACAUGUUCCAGAAAGGCAGGCCUGACUUUGACAAGGGAUCUCCAAAAUUGAGAUCCGCGACGAGUGGUGGCAAACAUCGGGCUAGAAUGUGGGAAGUAUUUAGCCUUGAGAAUCGAAAACCAAAGGGAAUCGGCCCCACUAGUCAUAAUUUUCCACCACCACUUAAUAAGCAAACAUAUGUUCAUCACCCGAGUAUUAAUAAUGCCUAACCCCCAAGGUUUUUAGGCUUACACAUACAUUGCCACUUGACCAGCCUAUAUUUCCGUUUGUUAUCCGCUGAGUUUCAAUAAAAGGCUCCCCUAUGUUUGUCAAAGCCAGCAUGAACGCCAGCCGAGAGAAGAUAGAAGCCCAUAAGAAACAUAGGGAGAGAGGAUAAGCAGGAGUUAAUUAGAACAACUUUGCCAUCGUUGGUAUUGUAUCUCCCCCUCCAAGGGAGCACCCUGUUUCCACUUUAGCGACCGCCGGAGCAAAGUCCUUAGCAUGGAGCAAGACAGGAGAGAUAGGAAGGCCUAGAUACUUAAAGGGGAAGGAACCCAAAGAACAAUUAAGAAGCCUGGCCACCCGCAAGGCUUCCGCAUCAUCAACACCUGUCACUAAGACCUCACUUUUAGGGAAAUUAAUCUUAAGGCCCGAUACAGCUUCGAAACAAAGCAGGAUGAAUUUAAGGUUGGCAAUACAUGUAUCGUCCAGCUCCACCAAGAUAAUUGUGUCAUCAGCAUAUUGCAGGUGGGAUACCCCCUCCGGGAGUAGAUGGGAGACCACAGGAGAGAUGUGACCGCAGCGGGCCGCCCUAGUGAGCAUGCACGAAAAGGCAUCAGCCACAAAAUUAAAAAGAACAGGGGAGGCAGGGUCUCCUUGGCGGAGGCCCCUACCAUUGGCGAAGAAGUUGCUAAUCAACCCAUUCACAGAGACGGCAGUAUGACCACCCGAGACCAACUGCAUGACAUGAUGAACAUAAGCUCCGUCAAAGCCUUUAGCAAGCAAGACUUGUUUGAGGAAAGACCAGCUAACUGAGUCAUAAGCUUUCUCAAAAUAUAAGUUAAGGAUAAUCGCUUUAGAUCUCCGAGAGUGAAGGUCGUGAACAAUCUCGUGCAAAGAUAAGAUACCAUCUAGAAUGAAACGACCUUUGAUGAAAGCAGAUUUGAAGGGGCUGAUAACUCUAUGCGCAACCGGCGACAACCGGUUCGCAAAACCCUUAGCUGGAAAUUUGGCGAAGUUAUUAAUCAAAGCAAUAGGACGGAACUGAGAGAUUAAUUCAGCACCCUUAACCUUGGGGAUGAGGGAAAUCACUGCGUAGUUCAGGCGGGAAAUAUUGACAAUACCAAGACAGGAACCCUGGAUGACCUUACAAACCAGCUAUUUCAACUGAGGCCAAAAUUUCCGAAAGAAAGGAAUAGAGAAGCCGUCUGGCCGAGAGGCAGCAUUAGGGUUAGAAGAGUUAACUACAUCCCAGAUUUCCUGAUCAGAAAGAGGGAUCAUCAAGGAGGCAUUUUCUUCGGGCGAGAUCUUAAAGCCUAUGUUCCAAAGGGAAGGGGAAAUGGAGAAGCCCAAUUGAGGCUUAGCCCCCAACAGCGAAGAGAAGAAGUCCACCACAUGAGCCAUAAUAGGAGACUGAUCCGAAGAUCGCACACCAUUAAUCAUCAGGAUAUUGAUACCAUAAUGUCUUCUCCUACCGUUCGCAAUCGCAAAGAAAUAGGCCGUAGGGGAGUCACCUUUUAGAGUCCAAUUAAGAGUGCCCCGUUGGCGCCAAUAAACCUCAGCCUGGUGGAACAACUGCAUCAAAGCGGCCUCAAGGUUAUAUCGAACCGCCCAGCCACCAUCAGAAAGGCCAGUAGAGUCGGCCGCGCGAUCAAGAGAUGCAAUCUGAGCCUCAAGGAAUAGUUUGGUACGACAAUCCUCCACCGCACGGUUGCGAGCCCAGCCUCUAAGAAAUUUAUGAAGGUUGUAGGAGCACGAGUGCGGGUCAUCCAGAGGCCCAAAACAGCGAGAGUUGGAGGGCAGAAGGAGGGAUAUCUUCGCGGCCACCAUCUUGGUAAAACCAUCUACAUACAGCCAAGAGGCGUCAAAUUGAAAUCUAGCCGGAGGUCUAAGGCUAUUAGAACCGUCGUCAAGAAUCAAGGGGGUAUGGUCAGAACCAACUAUGCAUAUGGCGCCGAGGGAGGCCCUAGGGAACAUGGAAUCCCACCUGGGACAUAUGGAGACUCUAUCAAGCACAGGUCUAAUAGGGUUAGCCUGAUGAUUGGACCAGGUAUAACGAGCACCGCCCCGGGGAAGCUCACGAAUAGCAUUGACACUGAUAAAAUCAUUAAAGGCAUUAGCUAGAGGGCAGGAGAAUAUAUCGUUACUUUUAUCAGAAGGAAACCGCAAAAGAUUAAAGUCUCCCCCGAUAACCAUCGGGAGACUGCAGGAUUCAAUCUUCACAGACAGCUCAGCAAGAAAUAAAGCAGACAAAGAAUGAUCCGCGGGCCCAUAAACGAUGAUAAAUUCACAGAGGGUAUUCAUGGCUUUAUGACAAAGAACAGAACUAGCCCAAAAAAUCCCAUGAUCAAACGCAACAAAAUCAAAAAUAUCUUUAUUAGAGCAUAUCAAGAUCCCACCGGAGUGACCCGAAGCAGGUAAAAAGUGCCAAUUGAAUCUGUCCAUACCCACGAUAGCAGAGAGGUCAUUAGGGGAAAAGGAUUCCUUAAAGGUUCAACCAACCCCACAAAGUCAAUGGAACUAGAGCGGAUCAGAUCUUUGAGUUGGUCGCGGAGCCCCCUAGCACCGAACCCUCUAAUAUUCCAGAAUAAAGCCCUCAUUUAUAAGAUAAAUUUUUAAUGCGGAGGCUCGACCUGCUAGGAGCCGCGCAGGAUUUGGCUCGUUUAUUUGUGCCCCUCCUAGAUAAAGAGGGUUGGGGCUGGCCACAACCAGCAACCGCUUCCGCACCCUGACAACUACUAGAAGCCCCAACCUUAGAGGCAAUGGCCUCUUUGGCUUUAGCUAUGGCCGCCUGAGCCAUCUCAUUAGCCCGAAUGAUAGCAAGAAGAGAACUAGGAGACCCAACAGAAGUAUCAACCACCACACCCACGUCCGACACAAUAUUUAAAAGAUGAUCAUCCGAAAGAGAAGGUAAAACCAACCGAACCGGGGAAGAAACAGAAGUGGGGAUGGGGGAAGUACCUGGGGGGGGGAGAUCCUUCGCCGCAACCCGCUUCUCAGCCCGCUCCAUGAUAGAGCCACCCGAAUUCGCCACCCGCCUGCCUUUGGGAGCCGUGGACGUGGAGACCGUAUAGCAGGCGACCACAUAGCAGGAGAGGUUGGAGGAGGGCCCGAACGAGACAUAGACCCCAUAUCCUUGUCGAGACGACGGCAAACCUCAGUCAUGGAUUGCUUCGAGCUCGACGAGUUCCUGCUUUUUAGCCGAGAAUUUGCGAACUGAGGACUUUUUCUUCCGGAGGGACUGGGAUCCCACCACGUCGCGGGCAGGGGAGGCAGGAAGAUCCUCAAUACCGGAGCGAGUGGGGGAGAGCGGUCGAACCAGGAGGUUGGAGCAGGCACCAGACACGGGGAUAGCUGACAUAGGAGGGUGCUUCAUCGAAUCAUCACCAGCAGCAGAGACAAUCAGGGCAGCCGAAGGGUUCGCCGCAUCCUCGCGGGGUGCCACACCAGAGGGAGCUUGGGAAUGAAACAACUCACGUUCAGAUUCAGCCAAACCAUCCCAUUGAGAUUGGGUAAAAUGGAGGUUAGAUCCAUUGCUCUGAUUAGGACCACCCAAAGAUCCGCCCCCCUCCUUAUCAUGCUUGUCUGAAGGGUUAGAAGGGGGAGGAGGGGGAGGUGGAGCCUGAAAAGCAGCCGCCCCCUCCACCCACACCCGAAGUUUGAUGCCAUUGGGGGAGGGGAAGAUAUCAAUCGAGCCAUUGGAGGAGGGGAAGAUAUCAAGCAGCAGCCGCCCCCUUCCCAAUCAGAACCCCAAAAGCCAUGAGAAAGGCAGACGAACGAAUACCAGCAGGCAGAUCAUCAAUCAAAACACAAACCUGGGAGAGAGGUCCAACUGCCGUACCAUUGCAAGACGCCGCUUUGACAGAAACCACCAGUUGGUUGAGGGGCAAUGUGAAACUCGUACACGAGGCAAUCAUCCGUAAACACUCUUUGGAGGGAAACACCACCGAAAACUCAUAAUCAGAUUUCUGCACUACUUGCCAGUCCCAUCCAGCCUCAUCCCAAAUGCGAAGCCCUUCAAGAAGAGCUUGGGGCGAGAUCUUUUGAUCCUUCACCGUGACAAACGCAGCAUUGGUCAGAGCGGGAGCCAUCUCCAAGACAGGCAGAUCAUUGUCAAAAGCGAAGAAGGCGCAACUGGGGAGGCCCGAGCCGAACUGAAGCACCAAGGGAGGCUUCUGCCUAUUCAUGCAAUUGACCGUGAGGUGACCAUCGGAGCGACAGAUCAAGCAGAACGGAGGGUUGGAGCAGUGAGAUUGGAAAUGGCCAGGCCUGUGGCAAGCGAAGCAGGUGAGCGCAGAGGGGUUGCUUGGGGGAGCAGAGGAAGGGCGGGGUUGCGGAAGUGACAAGGGAGGGGGAAGAAGCCCAUCACCCAUUCCCGAAGAGGGAGGCGCCCCAGAGGCCGGGCCGGGCGGCCGAUGCGCCGGCCCAACGAAGGACCGGGGUGGCGGACGAGAUCCAGCACCCACACCAGCCGGGCGAGGAGGAGGGGGAAACGCGUCAGAGUAGACGCGCCACGCCCCACGCCAGAGGCAGGCAAGGAGGCAGAUGAGGACGAAACCCCACCGCCAGAGGCCGCCGCCGCCUGCCACGGUUCUAGCGCCGGAGAGGGGGAGGGGCCAGAUCUAGAUCUCUGCGGACCAGAUCCAGGCGCGUGCUCCCUCUCCGAGCGCUGCAACCACUCCGGACCUGAAGCCCAGGCCGCACGGUCACGAGCCACCUGCUCGCGCGCCGCCUGCUCUGCCUCCAGCUUGGAGCGGAGCGAAGCCUCGAGCUCCAGGUCCACCGCAAAGGCAGGAGAAUCCUCACGGCGGCGCUUGCUGCCCGAGACCGCCUCGCAAGAGGAGCCACGCGACUUAUCGAUGGCGAGCAUCGCAGCGAAAGGAAGGAGAAGAGGGGGAGGAGGGCUAGAUCUGACGAGGCGACGGAUGGGGAGACGGUGACGCCGCAGAUCAGAAGAGGAAGCUGGAAACCCUACCCAAGGGGGAGACAAGCCGCGGGGAAUCCAUAUAUAGCCCGACGCACAAGAUGGGCCGAAGGGGGAUGGGAAGCAGGGUCCAGACCGAGGGGCCUAACUGGGCCGGAAGAGACAAGUGGGGGGAAAUCANNNNNNNNNNNNNNNNNNNNNNNNNNNNNNNNNNNNNNNNNNNNNNNNNNNNNNNNNNNNNNNNNNNNNNNNNNNNNNNNNNNNNNNNNNNNNNNNNNNNNNNNNNNNNNNNNNNNNNNNNNNNNNNNNNNNNNNNNNNNNNNNNNNNNNNNNNNNNNNNNNNNNNNNNNNNNNNNNNNNNNNNNNNNNNNNNNNNNNNNNNNNNNNNNNNNNNNNNNNNNNNNNNNNNNNNNNNNNNNNNNNNNNNNNNNNNNNNNNNNNNNNNNNNNNNNNNNNNNNNNNNNNNNNNNNNNNGGGGGGGUGGAAGAGAAGGCCCACUGGGCAGCGACGAAGCGAAAGGCCCAACAAUCCCAGGCAGGGGAUCGGCCCGCGACCCGAUGGCCACCGAGGCGAAUUCGAGAUCUAGGGCACACGACACCAUCGCCACCAGCGGCCCCGACCACGCCGCCGCCGCCGACGAGGCCGCCGAGGAGGCAGCAGGAGAGAAAGAUGGGGGCCUCUGAGCUCCCCAUCAGGAGCACUACCCAGGAUACCAGGCCCAGGGGAAGCAGCAGCAAACUUACCGGACUUGCGCCGCCGGCGCGAAACCGGGAUCCAGCUGGCAGCAGACGGAGCCGCAUCCACCGACCGACCCCGGCCACCAGGAGCAAACUUGCGGGAGCGGGGAGCGACGAGGGGCUGCGCCAUCCCCCCAGGGCAGGGCAAAGGGCAGCGGGGGGAGCAGGCAGCCGACCGUGAAUCCUCCUCAUCGGACGCAAGGGCCCAGAAUCGAGAUCCAAGCACAGGCAGCGGCGAAGGCGGCGGAGAAAACACCACCUGCGAGCAGGUAGGGGAGGGGAGGGAGUGAGCACCGGCGAGAGGAGAGGAGGAAGACCGGACCCCGGCCGACGUGCAGGGGAGGGGAACUGGGCGGCUAGGGCGAGAAGGGGAAGGGGGGAAGGGGAUCCAUUCUAUUUUAAAGGAGAAGCAAAAGAAAAACACGGAAUGAUUUCAUAAGCUGUAAGUUGAUCGUACAAUUCGGCAAACUCUCAACAUAGUCUUCAACAGUGGUGGUCUGAGCAAUAUGAAACAGCCGUCUGAUUAAUUGCUGAUGUUCGUUUCUGGCAAACCGUGUUUGUAAUAGGUUGCAGAAUUCGUCCCAGCAGAUAUUAGGUGCUCGUCCUCUAUAGACUCCAGCCAUCGAGCUGCUGCCCCUUCAAACUGAGCUGAGGCCGUUGACACCCACAGCUGGGUUGACACACUCCACAACUGGAAUUGAUCUUCACAUCUGGUCUGCCAGAGCCGUGGAUUAGUGCCAUCAAAAUGGGGUAGAUCAACUCGAAAAUUCAGUUCAGAAACACUGGUCCGAUUCUGAUCUCUGUUUGCCAAUUUACUCACUGGAGUUGAUCUGGGUUUGACUUCUAGGUUUUUCAAAAUGAAAAUGUAAAGCUUGACAAAUUCCUUGUGCUCCUUUUUUAAUCAAUAUGUAAAUUACCAUGUAUGAUCUUACUUGUCUGCAUUUGGUCCAUAAUUUUUUUGUUGGUUUAUUUUUUAUUUUUAGAUUUACUAUGGCCUUUUUUGCAUGAAGGUAUUUUUCUUAGGCUAUCAUGGCAAUUUCCAGUAGGUGUUUUGUAGUUUAUUAUGUCAAUUCUUUUGUAGUAAAAAACCUUUAUCAAAUGUUGCUUUUAGGAGGUUAAAGGGGCCUGUUUCGGCUGGUUCACCCGUGGGGUGGUUUCAUAGGCAUAGUUUCCGUUCGUUCGAUCGAACCACUCUCAGGAACGAUUCGUUCAUUGCAUCCUUUAUUCCCAGCCGACGUACACCAGCUAUUGGAGUUUUCUUUAUGAUGGAACACACACACACACACACACACACACACACACACACACACACACACACACACUGUUCAUAGAGAGCCACGACACAAACUCCUCAUCCUUUCUCUCAACUGAACAAUCCCCUCAAAAAACAAAAUCUUUCAACACAAAGAGUGUUUUUCUACCACGUAUGCUAUCAGAGUUGAAAAUGGCUGGUACAGGUAGUGUCAAGAGUAGUCCCGUAGAUCCAUGGUGGGUAGUUCGUUUGUGCGGUGGCUGUGACUUUAUUGUGCUCAACACCAAUUUCUGGCUCGUGUAUAUUUUUUCCAUCUCUAUCUUAAUACAUAGGCGUGCAAAUCCCUUGCGCGUUCCUGAAAAUAUAUGGUUAUUUAUUGUUGAAUGUGUUGAAGAUUCACGCAUUUGAAUUUUGUUAAUAUAUACGAUGAAACGUUAAGUGACAUGAUGAUGCACUCUAAAACAAGAGGAAACCUGAUGAAAGCUGAUGAAGUUUCGUGCAUCUGAAUUUUGUUAAAAUUCAUGAUUUUUUUCGUCAAUGCAUGGUGCUAAUCCUUGUUUUGGUUGCCUUGUGACAAUGGUUACGCGGUGUUGUGUUAUAUCUUGGCCGUUUCAAAAGGAAAGUUAUGCAUGGUGCUAACCUUACUAGAAUAAGAAUCGUGAUUUUUGUUUCUGUCGAUUCAAUAAGUGUGUUUUGUUUUCUUAGAAAUUGGUUUGGUUCGGAAUUAGUGGAAUCAUUUCACUCUCAUUCAACUCAGAUUACUCUUUGAUAUAAUGAUUGACAUGUGAUGUCUACGUUUUGAUUUUGUUGUCGAGUGAGUAUGUUCUUUCUAUCAAGCAUGGAUGUUGAUCUUCAAGUUCGCGUGCCUCAAAACUUGCAAUAUUUUGUGUGGUGCUAUUAUGCUUUAUACUGUAUUGGACUUUCAAGACUGUGUCUGCAUUGGAGAACGAUUUUUUUUCCACAUAUGUCAAUUUAGAGAGAGAACAUAUAAGUAUUAAAAUUCCGAAAAGCCGGGACGGAUAGGCAUACAUAUAUGCCAAAUUUAGUAAAGUAUUGUCAUCCUUGGCAAACUCGAGAAAGUGCAAAUUAAAUUAACAUACACUUAGCUGCACUUCAAGUUAUAGUAAAUACAUUAUACUUUAGCCAAAGUUUACCUGCUUGUGUUUCUACUCAUUCUCUCAAUGCAAGAAUUAUUUACAAUUUUAUGAAAUGCUGAGGUUGACUUUCUUUAGUAAAGUUCCAAAUAUAGAGUUCGUAUGUACCCACCAUGUAGCUAUGAGUCCACAAAUUAAACACACUACUUUUACUUUGUCAAAACUACAUUACAGAUUUUUAACAUGGUCCCAG